AUGAGAGUCACGAGCUGGAACUGUUGGGGACUCAGGAAUGGCCUAGCAGUUCGUGGCCUCUUGGAUCUCAAGAGGGUGGAGGAUCCUGAUGUGUUGUUUCUGUGCGAGACCAAGUUAUUCCAGGGGGAGCUUGAGAAGAAUAGAUGGAAGCUGGGCUUACCGAAUAUGUGUGUCAAGAAUCCGGAUGGAAGAAGUAGAGGGCUGUCUAUCUUUUGGAGACGAGAAGUGAAUUUAUCGUUGAGGUUAGUGGGAAGGAGACACAUUGAUGCUGAUAUAACAGAGGAGGAUGGAUCAGUGUGGAGAAUGACGGCCAUAUAG
rnacentral:rRNA from 1 species